AUUCAAAAAAAAUUCAAAUUUUUUUUUAUAAGAAAGUUCGAAUUUGAAAAUAUAUAAUUCAAAAACGUAAAAAAAAUAUUAUUUUUUAUUUUUUAUCUAUUACUUAUUUAAAUAAUGAUUUAUUAUAUAUAUAGAUAACAAAUGUAUAAGAGUCUUUUUGCCACAUAAUGAAGAUUUGAAAAUGUUCAUUUAGUAGUGGUAAAUAUGAAAAGUGGUAACAUGAAAGUGGUAAACAUAAAUUUUCUCCAUAAUAUAGGAACUUGAUUAGGUUUAUCCUUAUAUUGAGUAAUAAACUUAAAUAUAGCUUUAUUUAUUUAACUAUAUAUUAAAAGUAUAAAUAUUUAUAAUUGAUAUGAUAUAAAUAUUAUUAAAAUAUCUAAAAAUCAUGUCAAAAUGUAAAUAUCUAUACUAAAUUGAUCAUAUUACAAUAAUCUUAAUAUCAUGUAAUAAAUUUUGAAAACAAUCUCUUAUAUAUUAAAAGAGAAACAUUACAACCUUUUAUCUAUGACACGUGUCAUCACUAUAAUGACUUUUAGUAUAAAUAGAGAAUUAAGUUGGUCUAUCUAAACAGAUAAUAUAUUUUUUAUUAAGCUAAACAUAAAUUAGUUAUUAAUGUACAAAAGGAUAUUUUCACUCUUUCCUUAAAUAAAAAUUACAGAGUCACAUAAUAUGUUUAAAAUAUGUAUUGUAAUUAUUAAUUUUGAAUAUAAAGAUUUGGUAACAAUUUUUAUAUCGUUCACCAUUUUUUAAUAUUAUAUUAUUAAAAUAAAUUACACCAUCAUAUUCACCAUAUAAUAAAAAUAUAAUUUAUUUCGUAUAUGUUAAAUUUAGAAUUUUAAAUUAUUCAAAAUUACUAAUAUUUUUAUAAGUCUCACAUUAAAAAUUUGUGAUCAAUGUUUUAAAUUUGUGUUAUAAAGAGAUAUAAAUGAUGAUAAAAUAUGAAUAGAAAUUCUCAUUUAAAAUUUAUUUAUAUUAAAAGUAUAUAUAUUUUAAUAUUCUUUAAAGUAAAUUAUAUACCAAAUACAUAAAUAUUUUAGUUCUUAAAUUUGCAUUGAACAAGUAUGAAGAACUUAAUAUUUUAAUUUUGAAAUAUUCUUUAAAUUUUUUAAUUCGUGUUUAAAUUACGAAAAUUAUGAAAAUUCCACAUUGAAUUUUUUUUCCAGUAGUUUAAGAGUUUGUUAUAAAAAAUACAAAUUAUCAUAUUAAAAGUGUACUAUAUAUAUAUGUUAUUAUCAUUUAAAUUUAACUAUAUACCAUAGAAAAUUAGAUUAAUAUAAUUGUUUUGAUUUGUUUAUUAUAAAAAUUUGUAAAUAAAAAGAGUCAUUAUAUUUAUUUAUGUGUUUGGGCCAAUUAACUAUAUAUGUAAUAGUUAUUUUCUUCUCAAAUAUAAAAUAUAUAUUUAUUAUUUUAUAAUAUGUAAAAUGUAAAAUAAAUAAUAGUUCACGUAUAAAGAUUUGUAUACCGGAUGCUCGUUCUGCGCAAGGCGCAAAUCUUAACCUAGUAUUAUCUAUUUAUAUAAAAUAGAGUUUGCUCCACAUAGAAUUCCAGCUAGAUAAAUCAAAGCUUCUGGUGUCGACACGUGUCCAAUAUUGAGAACUCACCGUUUCAUUAAUCGUUAUUCAUUUGGGCCGCAAAAACAUCAAAGUUCCAGUGUUCGUCUCUCUUCUCUGUCCGGCCGCGACCUCUGAACUUCAUCACUGAAUCUGAAGCGGUCAGAGUUAUGUGUUUUUCGUGUGGUGUUAAAGCCUUAUUAAUUCAAUCUCCAUCAAUCAUCAAUCAUCUUCACCACCCUUAGCAUUCAGAAGUGGAUCUCCCAGAUUCCUUUUAUCUCUGUACGUUCUUAUUUAUUUGUUCAUUCCCAUAAAUCUACUUCUACUUCCUGUCUCCAUAUGUUUUACGGAUCCUUUGUUAAAUUAUGUCAUAAAGGAUUGAUCUUUUUCUUCUUAGUGAGCAUGUGUGUGUAUCUGAUCUUAUUUUCUUGUGUCGAUCUGUUCUUAUGUCUCGAUUGCUAAUUGAAAUCCAAAGCGUCACACUUUGUCCUCUUGAUCUGCUGUUCUGAGUACUUUUGAGCUGAUCUGAAUUUCUUUUGUUUAUUUAGACCAAUUGAAGUCGAGUUCUUCUGAUUGUAAAAUCAGGAACCUAGGGAGAGUGAGAAGCUACAUUGCCUUAUACCAGCACCUAAAGCAUAUGUUACGCUUCUCUCUUGGCCCAAGAGUAUAGAUUAUGUGCCUUAUGAAGAGAUGACAGCAAACAAGAGGCUACGUUCUGAAUGUGAAGGUAACGAGAGGUGUUGAUAAGGCUGAGGGAGAACUCAGUCAACAAGAGAUCUAUGUUAACGCUAGCUCAUAUGCUUUGUCGAUUGCUUUAAUCGGUGUUGGAGACGGGCGAUGGGAAGACAUGAGGAAGUUCGACGACAAGAUCCCUAAGCGUGAAUUUGACAACUUUAAGUUUGUGAAUUUCACAGAGAUCAUGAAGAGAGAUUCAUCAGAGUCAGCCAAAGAAGCUGCAUUUGCUCUUGCUGCUCUAAUGGAGAUUCCCUUUCAGUAUCAAGCAGCAACUGACUCAGCCUACAAACAAUAAACAAAGGAAAGAGUAUUUUGAAAUAUCAAAAAGUAAACCUUCAAGAGAAUCAGUUAGAAAGGUAGUUCGUGAAGAAGAGAAAGAAGUUCUGUUGCUUGAUAAUGAUAGUGGUGGCUCUUACACUAUGGAGAUAAUGCUCCUUUCCAUGAAAGUGAUGACAACAGUUCAACAUGGUACGACGAGGGCGAACUACUAUGGACACCUUCGUUGCCACAAAAACUGAGGAUCGGUAUUGUUCUAUCCAAAGGUCAAUUACCUGGUGGGCACACUGUCGUACAUGGACCAUUCGGAUGAUGUUGUCCUAAGAUUAUCAUCUCUAAGUUUUCUUGAUGCUGUAUCAAAGACAUGCAUUGAGAGCUGAAGAAGCAUCUCAUCACUGCUAGCUAUGUUGAUGAUGAAACAUCCAUGCUACAUGAGAUGGCUAAGAAUGCCUCGAUAACGGUUCUUGGUGAAACGACAUCCCACAAUAGUGUGAAUCUCACUUGGCCUUUAGUGUGAAUCUCAACCCUCUUAAUAGUGUUCGUCAGAGGAAAAAUGUGCUGAACCCUAAGCCGCUUAUCCUGAUCUCAUGUUUUAGCUCUGUAAAGAAGUUGCACACAGUGUGAGAUUUCAGUUGCCAUAAACAUUUAAGAUAGAUCUUAAUCAAAAUAUUUUUUCUACAAUCGAAAGGCUGUAUCUCUUUAUUUAUUAUUAUUUUUUUUCUACAAGUGAUGAGAUGCUUUUUUUUUUGGCUGUAUCUCUUUAAUAUACUACAUAUGUACAUCUCUUUAAACUUUGGGGCCAUUACAGAUGCUUUAGGCUGUGAUCUGAAACCAACCGCAGAUUUGUUUUUGUGGUGAAUGAUAAGGAGCUUCUUAAGAUCUCGCUGGUCUUGGUCUUGGCCGUACUUUCACGGUAUACAAGAGCAAAAUUAUAUUCAUAUAAAAUUUCAACAUUAUAAUUUUUUAAAAUUGUAUUAAGCACUACAUAAUCCUCAUCAUCUUAUUCUAUAUACGAAAUUUAGUAAUAAAAUGUUUAAUAACCAAAAAGUUCUUUUUAAUCAAUAGUUCAUUUACAGUCUAGCAAAAGAUUUACAUCAAUCUAAAACUAUUUUAGCACACAAUAUAUAAUAUUAUCUAAAAUACAUAAACUUCAAAAAAAUAUAAGAAUAAAAAUGAAACUUUUUAUGAUAUUAUAUUUACACAUUUUAUCAAAUGCAAAUAAAAAGGGUAAAGCUGAUGAAUGAUUCCACCAUUUCAAAAUAAUAACAAAUAUUAAACAGAAUUAAAAAAAAAUCGCAAAGUGACAUGAGAAAUGCAUGAAAUAUAUGGAUUGUUAUGAACGGCAAACCGACAUUUAUGGAGCUGACAAAUGCUGGAGAUAGAUCAAACGUUCCUUAUGCAACAUCUAUAUAUUAAAAAAGAAGUGUUAUGGAACAAAUAUAAUCUUUAUAAUGCCACCAAGAAAACACCAUCUCAAUAAUAUGAAAAAUCGAUGUGUUGAUUGUUAUUACUAUAAACAAAUGGAGAAGUUCUUGAGUUGAUUUUACGAUGAGUAACAAAUGUCUACACUCAUCGACCACUACUCAGUUUUCACAUUGUUCAAUUUCAAUGUUUUGUUAUUUUGAUUAACUUUGCUUUACCUUCUUCACAUUACCUUAUUGCAUUAAAUAUAACAUUUUACAUUUAAUAAGAAAUGCAACUUCAAUAAUCACCACUUCCACUCCAAUAACAUGCAAAAAGAAUAUGGUUUCAACUUACUCUUAUAAGAUACACAAAAUAUUACCCCCAACUGAAGUCUUCCAAACCCAAAAUAUUACAAACCACAAAUAAUGCACCGAAUACGAGAUCAAAUUUUUGUAAAGGAAAAAACAUGAAGACCAUUCGAAGCCCUCACUCACAACAUAUCAAUGCCACAACUCUUAAAUAUAGAAAUAACUAUUGUAAAUACGCAAACUAUAUCUUAUCACAUAUAAUCCCUCUUCAAUUAAAACUUUCUAAAUGACAAAAAGCAUUAUCAUACGCAUCUACUGCAAAUGCAAACCUGAAACACAAACCAAAAAAAUCAUACAAAAAAUACUAAUAUAGAUCACAAGUAAAGUAUGUCCCGCCCGUAGGGUGGGCAGACCCUAGUAUAUAUAUAUAUAUAUAUAUUCGCUUCACUCCUGCUUUGCCACGUCAUAAAGUCGGUUCCUGACAGGCCGACACGUGUCCAGUUUAGAUGAUACUCAGUGUUUCACUUAAUCACAAUUAUUAAUGAGCUCUUCUCUUUUUGUUAAUAAAUAUUUCAGAUCAGUGUUUUGGGCUUAACAUAAUUGGGUUUCUGGGCUGUAGGGUAACACAUGAGGGGGUCCUACAUGAAACGGCUUCUUCUCCAAAAAUAAUGUCGACGAACGAGAGACAUAUCAUCUGUGUUUUAACAACUCCGGUUCAAACCUACGGCCAAUGAAGAUUUGCUGCACCGGCCACGCUGAAUUCCGAUCAAGAUCAGUUGGAAGGCGUCGUAUUUGGCUUUUCGAUUCCACUUCUUCUACCCUUAGUUGAAUUUUGGAACCGUUAUGGAAGUCGGUUGGAUUCAUGCAUCCUCAUUGACUAUCACAUUAAAUCAUUCAAUGAACCCCCUCAUUAAACAUUUUAACUCAAAUAUAACUAAUCUUAACAUAAAUAAUCCUUGGACACCCUAAAAUUCUCAAAACCCAUAAACAUUAUUAUAUACUUUUCUUAACAAUAUUUUACAAAAUAUACAUA